UACGGAGGGGACUAGCGUUGUUCGGAAUUACUGGGCGUAAAGCGCACGUAGGCGGAUUUGUAAGUCAGGGGUGAAAUCCCGGGGCUCAACCUCGGAACUGCCUUUGAUACUGCAAAUCUCGAGUCCGGAAGAGGUGAGUGGAAUUCCUAGUGUAGAGGUGAAAUUCGUAGAUAUUAGGAAGAACACCAGUGGCGAAGGCGGCUCACUGGUCCGGUACUGACGCUGAGGUGCGAAAGCGUGGGGAGCGAACCGG
rnacentral:rRNA from 1 species